CAGAGUGACUGUGGUUCCAAUGUCUCAGUGAGGCAGAGUGACUCUGGUUCCAAUGUCUCAGUGAGGCAGAGUGACUGUGGUUCCAAUGUCUCAGAGUGACUGUGGUUCCAAUGUCUCAGUGAGGCAGGGUGACUGUGAGUUCAAUACCAGUGUAACAGUUUUGCUUCCGUCCCUCUCCUUGCCCCUACCUGGGCUCGAACCAGGGACCCUCUGCACACAUCAACAACUGCCUGCCACGAAGCACCGUUACCCAUCGCUCCACAAAAGCAGUGGCCCUUGCAGAGCAAAGGGAACAACUACUUCAGGUCUCAGAGAGAGUGACGUCACCGAUUGAAACGCUAUUAGCGCGCACCACCGCUACACUAGCUAGCCAUUUCACACAGGUUACACUAGCAUGGGCCACAUGCACUGAAUGUGUCACUACCAAUGCUGACAGUUCAGUAAAUCACUCUGGAAAUUAACUUAUCAUUACUUAGGCGCAACAUGGAGCUAGCUCAUAUAAACAUGUACAUAAGUCCAUAUUCAAGACAUAAAUGCACUGACUCACUGUACUGUAAGUCAUUUUGGAUAGGAGCGUCAGCUAAAUGACCAUAUUACUAGCUAGGGCUAUGUAGCUAGCUCACGUAAACAUGUGCAUGGCAUGUGGUGCAAAGGAGGUUGGUGGCACCCUAAUUGGGGAGGACGGGCUCGUGGUAACGGCUGGAGCGGAAUGAGUGGAAUGGUAUCAAAUACAUCAAACACAUGGUUUCCAUGGUUGUCAUUGUUUCCAUGGUUUCCAUGGUUUCCAUUGUUUCCAGGUGUUCGAUGCCAUUCCAUCCGUUCCGUUCCAGCCAUUAUUAUGAGCCGUCCUCCCCACUGAUGUGGUGUCAUAUUGAAUCUGGUAAUGUUACCAGUUCUGUCUGUUUGAAUAAAAAUCAUCUGCUAAAUUACCAUGUUAUUACUUAGGGGCUUGAAGUAAUGGGAAAAGGUCUGUUGUUUUAGUGUCUUCACUUACUUUGGAGUCCAGCAGGUCGAUGCUGUCCAGGCUCUUGCUCCUGUGGAUACGACCUUUGAUCCUGCGUAGCGACGGCUUGGCCUGAUGUAUGCUGCUCACAGACGACGAUGCAGAGAUCGAGCCGCUCCCGUGUCCUAGCCCGUGACCGUGUCCGUGUCCCUGACCUUGGCCUUGACCCCGGCUGGCUCUGCCGUGUGGGAGAUUGCCGGGGUGGAGGAGGCUGGGGUGAAUCCUGAGGGUCGGACAAAAACAUCCCAUCAGGAUCAUCAUACUGAACUCCGAGAAUAGAAGAGACGAGAAUAUAAAUUGUCACUGAAUGUCAAAUUGGUUGCAGCCCAUGUAGUACUGGUGAUCUAGAGGAGAGAGAACGUGCUAGAGCAGGGGAAUUGAACCCAUGUAGUACUGGUGAUCUAGAGGAGAGAGAACGUGCUAGAGCAGGGGAAUUGAACCCAUGUAGUACUGGUGAUCUAGAGGAGAGAGAACGUGCUAGAGCAGGGGAAUUGAACCCAUGUAGUACUGGUGAUCUAGAGGAGAGAGAACGUGCUAGAGCAGGGGAAUUGAACCCAUGUAGUACUGGUGAUCUAGAGGAGAGAGAACGUGCUAGAGCAGGGGAAUUGAACCCAUGUAGUACUGGUGAUCUAGAGGAGAGAGAACGU
rnacentral:lncRNA from 13 species